ncrna:unclassified sequences 6A RNA
AUCUUUGGUCGUAGAGUCGCGACCAACUGGGGUCAUCACCCCUUAAACUAAAAAACGCUCACUAGGA